rnacentral:rRNA from 1 species
CAACAGGGCAUUGCCUCAGUACGGCGAGUGAAGCGGCAAAAGCUCAAAUUCUGAAAUCUAGCACCUUCGGUGUUCGAGUUGUAAUUUGAAGAUGGUAACCUUGGGUUUGGCUCUUGUCUAUGUUCCUUGGAACAGGACGUCAUAGAGGGUGAGAAUCCCGUCUGAUGAGAUGCCCAUUCCUAUGUAAGGUGCUAUCGAAGAGUCGAGUUGUUUGGGAAUGCAGCUCUAAGUGGGUGGUAAAUUCCAUCUAAAGCUAAAUAUUGGCGAGAGACCGAUAGCGAACAAGUACAGUGAUGGAAAGAUGAAAAGAACUUUGAAAAGAGAGUGAAAAAGUACGUGAAAUUGUUGAAAGGGAAGGGCAUUAGAUCAGACUUGGUGUUUUACGAUUAUCUUCUCUUCUUGAGUUGUGCACUCGUAUUUCACUGGGCCAGCAUCGAUUCGGAUGGCAAGAUAAUGGCAGUUGAAUGUGGCUUCACUUCGGUGGAGUGUUAUAGCUUCUGCUGAUAUUGCCUGUCUGGAUCGAGGGCUGCGUCUUUUGACUAGGAUGCUGGCGUAAUGAUCUAAUGCCGCCCGUCUGAAAAACACGGGACCA